rnacentral:rRNA from 1 species
GAUGAACGCUGGCGGUGUGCCUAAUACAUGCAAGUCGAGCGAACGGACGAGAAGCUUGCUUCUCUGAUGUUAGCGGCGGACGGGUGAGUAACACGUGGAUAACCUACCUAUAAGACUGGGAUAACUUCGGGAAACCGGAGCUAAUACCGGAUAAUAUUUUGAACCGCAUGGUUCAAAAGUGAAAGACGGUCUUGCUGUCACUUAUAGAUGGAUCCGCGCUGCAUUAGCUAGUUGGUAAGGUAACGGCUUACCAAGACAACGAUGCAUAGCCGACCUGAGAGGGUGAUCGGCCACACUGGAACUGAGACACGGUCCAGACUCCUACGGGAGGCAGCAGUAGGGAAUCUUCCGCAAUGGGCGAAAGCCUGACGGAGCAACGCCGCGUGAGUGAUGAAGGUCUUCGGAUCGUAAAACUCUGUUAUUAGGGAAGAACAUAUGUGUAAGUAACUGUGCACAUCUUGACGGUACCUAAUCAGAAAGCCACGGCUAACUACGUG